GCCGUCAUCGGACCCACGUGAAACGAUAAAACGCGGUCCAUCGUCGUGAUUUUUACCCGCCCGAACUACGCGCAGUGCUUGAAUUUUCAUCCGAACUUCCGCAUUGCGGAAAUUGACUGAGGAUCGGACGGGAUUCAAUGAAAAAUUGAACCCAAUGAUGGACGAAGGACUGACUUUUAACGACAACCAAAAUUUUUUGAUCCCUCGCCGUAAUCCCGAUUAUUCUGUCAGUGACAGAGAAAAUUGACCAGAUUUGAGAAAAUGAAAAGGAAAGAACAAAACCACGAGACACCGCGGUGCCAAAAUUUUAUUUCUAAAUAAAACGCGUGCUCAAAUUCA